UGCUGCAAGUGUGAUGAAGUGGUGGUUGGGCCUUCUCACUCYAGCUUGAUGUGUUUUCCUGUGCUGUGUGAAUKGAUGGUUCUUGCUUCAGUAAUAUUAUACCUUCUCAUGCAGUAUGUGCCCCUUGGUCUCAUUUGCUGCAUGGUGUUUAAGUUCUGCUUUGAAGGGACCUGAGGAAGAGCAGAGGCAGAGGCAGUUUUACGCUGGAUCUUCACGGACACAGGGAGGUGAACCUUGCGGGUGCUGGGCUCUGGCCUCGGCACGGGAAGAUGCUCUGGUGAGCGGCGCCCUGUGGACACUUGUCCUUCCCACCCGCUCCUGAUGCCUCCCAAAGGUAAAGCGAGCCCCGCGUGGGGGRCAUCUCUGGGAAUCCUGCUGGGAAAUGAUGCUCCAAGUGUGUGAGAAAGGUGACUUCUCAGACACAAAUCACCCUGUGGAUGGGUUGGCAAGAAAGCUACUUCUUUGUACUGAAGAUCGUGUCCUUCCWUCAGAGCAAGAGACUGAGUUUUUAGAUACUCUCAUUCUUAGUGACUUAAAAACCCCGGGCCUGUAAUGGGGGCUAAAAAAAUGCUUUUUUCCUCAAGCUUUGUUCUCAAAAAUAACUGAAACUCGGACACAAAUUUCUCUAAAACUGUUUGAAGCAGAUUCCAAGCUUGCUUGCUUUUAGUCCCACUGCUUUUGUUUGUUGUUACUUCUUUAAAGAUGAAAAUGGGCAACUACAAKAGAACUGGAGAAGAACAGGGAGAUGCUAGAGAGGGGCCAGGCUAAUAGUGCUCUGUGGUGUCUAAGUACACAGAGAACUCUGGGCGUUUAUGUUACCCAAAAUAGCGCUCGACAGUGUGAAGGAUUUCCAUGAAAUCUAGUAUCUGUGAAGCCUGCUCUAAGAGCUUUUAUAGAAUGAUUUAAAGUCAAUAAUGGUUCCACUUAAUGGCAAUAAUAUUUAUACAUUGUGUUUUUUUUU